CAGUCGACGAUACUCUUUAGCUUGCUAAGGAGGAAAGUGGCGCACGGGUGCGUAACGCGUAUGCAACCUACCUUAAUCAGGGGGAUAGCCCGAAGAAAUUCGGAUUAACACCGCAUAAAAUCACAGUACAGCAUUGUACAAUGAUCAAAUAUUUAUAGGAUUAAGAUGGGCAUGCGUGACAUUAGUUAGUUGGCGGGGUAACGGCCCACCAAGACCACGAUGUCUAGGGGAUCUGAGAGGAUGACCCCCCACACUGGUACUGAGACACGGACCAGACUCCUACGGGAGGCAGCAGUAAGGAAUAUUGGUCAAUGGAGGCAACUCUGAACCAGCCAUGCCGCGUGCAGGAAGACAGCCCUCUGGGUCGUAAACUGCUUUUAUUCGGGAAUAAACCUAUCUACGUGUAGAUAGCUGAAUGUACCGAAAGGAAUAAGGGGAUCGGCUAACUUCCGUGCCAGCA
rnacentral:rRNA from 1 species